CAGCAGCGCCAGGGCCAGGAGCGGGGCCGGGGCCAAGCGGGCGGGGCCGGGGCCGGGGCGGGUCCCGCUGCCUCCGAGCGGCGCCGGGCGGGCGGCAGCCGGGACGCCGCGGCAGGGGAGCAGGAUGGCGCUGGUCCCUGGCACGGUGCUCUGGGCGCUGGCCCCGCUCCUGGCCCUGGCUGGCACCGACCCCGACCGGGGCUGGGACACCCGCGGGGCCCCCACUGGCUCUGCGGUGACAGUGGCCACGGCUUCAGCCACACCACAGGUCCCCAAAAAUGUGGCGCCGGACACGAUGGUGCUGGUCUGCGUCCUCACCGCCGCCUUCGUGGCCGUGGCCAUCGUGGUCGUGUUCUGCUUCCACUGCGGGAGGCGCUGCUGGGGGCGGGCAGGUGGGGACGGGGGGAC